UUUUAUGGUUUAUGGCCAUGACUAACUUUUUUUUUUUUAAAUUCUGUCUUACAGGAGGUCAGUCGUGGUCUGAAAUUCCACUUCUAUAAUCCUUUUGGCCUAUUCUUAAAAGUGACCGUUGCAAAAAAAUCUUCCGGGGUGCAGAUGCCAUGGGAGACGUCUCGACUCGUCCACCAUGCAAACUGACAAGAGAUGCUGAGUGACGGAUAAACUGGACUUCAUCUCAGGACAUAGGGAAGGAUGAUUGGAUUUGGAGGCAGAUGAAAAAAAUGGGAGGUCAACUGUGUGACAGUCGGAGGUGACACCUUUCCAGCAGGAGACUUCUCAUCGGGUCAUGACAAAUUACACAGCUCCCAUUUCACCUGUCUCUCACCACCAUCACAUCACAAGGUAGUUCUGUGUGUGUGUGUAUUCCUUAGGUAUGGUGAAGUGUUUCCCUAAAUUCCUAGAUUCAGGUUUGGUAGAAUGUAUCUUCUGAGUAGUGUAUUACUUCUACUACUACUGCUACUGUGUAUUGGUAGAAACAGCCGUAGCAGUAACAAGAAUUAUUUUGUACCAUUAUGUUUAUUAUACUGACAAUAUA